GGAAGUGCCAUAGCUUAGUGGCAGAGCAUCCACAUUGCAUGCAGAAGGUCCUUGGGUCAAUCCCUGGCUUCUCCA